GAACAAAUUAUGUUUACCUUCGAAACAUAAUAUAAUCUUGAAAAUCACACAUAAUGUCUUGCUGUGUUACUUUUAUAUAUUUAAAUCAUGUUGACAAAACAUGAAAUAGUUAUGCUUGAUCCUUUGCCCCUUAAUUUUGGAUAAGUAAACCCCAUCGGUGAAGAAGCAUUCCAGGAGGAGAAACUUUGCAGUCAGCCAUUUUAGAGAAGCUGCAAGCACCUGCUGGCUGGAGGAGCUUAAAAAAGAGCUCAUCACACAACACUUCCAACUGCUCCUCCCUGAUCAUGCUGGGGUCCAUGCUCCAGUCUUCACUGAGUCAGACUGCUGACCUUCUCGCCAACAUAAGCAAGUUCAGGGGUUUAUUCAAAGUACAGAAUGAAGACCAUGCAGCAAUCCAGGAGGCAAUCUAGGACACCACGGUGGGAAUUUCCCUCCUAAUGGAAAGUGGCGAGGAAGAGGACAUUCUCAUGGUCCACAUCUCCCAGGCUGUGGUGGUCGACCCACCAAGUGUCAGAGUUGUAGUUGCCAAGGCUUUUUUGGCCUUAUUUACAGCACAAAUCUGAUUACCAUCCUCAUCUCAGAAACACCUUUGAGGUAAUCCAAAGAAAAACUGUAAUAGAGUUGCAGGGCAAAGUUGUGUCUAAGGUUUCAGGCUCUUUUAAUAAAAAUGACCUUUAAAAAGUUUUUCCUGAGAAGGGAUUCCAGCUGUUUGCUUUGGCUCUGUUAUCUUCUGUUUAAUAAAAAUAGCAAGCCCAAUUUAUAUUGAUUUGUACUUUUUGCUACAGUGUAAACCUAUUUUUCAAGUUUAGAUAAUAAGAAAGUUAAAUCUGAAA